AUGGUAAUCCUUCCUAGCAUGUUUCACCUUCUCCCUAACCAGCUCUGCAUCAGCACCAUCAGAGGUCAGAACCUUGGCUGGCAUUUCUUCCACAGACCCGUUAUGACAUUCACGCUUUGGUUCAAACCUAGGACUUGUCCUAGGAGUGCCAGCAGGGUAGUUCUUCCUAGGAUGUUUCAGCUUCCCUCUCACCAGCUCUUCAUUGCCACCUUCAGAGGUCAGAGCCUUGGCUGGCAGCUCUUCCACAGGCCUGUUAUGACAUUCAAGCUUCGGUACAAACCUAGGACUUAUCCUAGGAGUGCUGGUAUGGUAGUUCAUCCGAGGAUGCUUGACCUUCCCUCUCAACAGCUUUGCGUUGCCACCUUCAGAGGUCAGAGCCUCGGCUGGCAGCUCUUUCACAGGCCCGUUAUGACAUUCACGCUUCGGUUCAAACCUAGGACUUGUCCCAGGAGUGCCGGAAUGGUAAUCCUUCCCAGGAUGUUGCAUCUUCUCUCUCACCAGCUCUGCGUCGCCACCUUCAGAGGUCAGUGCCUCGGCUGGCAGCUCUUCUAG
rnacentral:rRNA from 1 species